CCGCAGCCCUCACCUGGCCCGGUCGAGAUCCAGACCUGACCAUUUCUCUCAGCCUCAGAAGAGCCCAGACGUAGGGAAACGAAUACUUGAGAAAAAAAGAAUUAACCGCCGAGACGUCCCGACCUCCCUUGUCCCGCCCCCCGAGCUUCCGCUUCCGGGAAGGAGACUGCGGAACGCCCCGCCUCAUAGUCUUUUUGGUACUAAAGUUUUUCCUUCGGGUCGGGACCUAGCGCCCUGGGCGUGCGCAACAGACUCCGCGCGCUCGAGCUUGCCGCACCCUGGGCGGAGAGUGGGGGAGGCCAACAGACGUCACGGGGGCGGGGCAAGACGGGGGAGGGGCUCGGGGCUCGGCCUAUCGGGGGCUGGGCGACCAACGGAGGAACUCUCUGGCAUUGCAGCGCUGGUUUCAACUGGCUUAAGUGGGAACCAGGGCCUGCUAGACCCCGGGGUAGAGACUACUGCUGGCUUUCAGAAGUGACAUGAAGCUCUGUGUGCUGUUUUAAGUGUAUUUGUCAUUGAUAGUCAAUAGAAAUCAAACCUCGGUAUCAUCGUCUUGUGAACUUGUUGACAGUUUCAGAAUUCUUCACUGUGUGGCCUCUCUGGACAGUGUUCGGUGGUUGGGAUUUUGGACUUAUCCAGUUCGUGGUUUGGCUGCCUACUUCUUCUACCGAGAUAAUUGCUAUUGAUAAAGAAUGAGUCUUUUUACCACUGAUAGCUGCCCUAAGUAGAGAGUGGUGCUUUGAGACACUGUGGGGUUGUUUCGAAUCAAGUUGGAGAGAAAUUAACUCUUGAUUCUUCUUUCUAUGGUUAAAUGGCUACCUUUGUAAACAGGGGUUGCAUUGAUUUUUAAAACCCUGAGACCUGUAGAGAUGACUUAAUUGAUAAGAGCAAUUCUUCCCCCCCACCCCCUUCGGAGCUGAGGACUGAACCCAGGGCCUUGCGCUGUGUGUGUCUGUGUGUGUGUCCCUGUAUGGGUUUGUGCACAUGAGUGCAAUGCCACCAGAGGCCAGAAGAGGGCAUCGGGUCUUGCUGGGGGCACUAAGAGAAACGGGGUAUUUUAAUCUCCUCAAUGGAGAAGAUAAAAAAACAAAUAUUUAUUUCAUCCAGAAAGCCAGGAGUGGAUUUUGUUAAUGACUUGGUAAUCUUUUCGCUGUCUAUGGAGCACAUCUCAUCCAAAUUCCCCAGAACGAUUAUCCCAGACUCUCUCUUCCCAGGGGCCAUUACCCAUCCUUAAGGGAGAUGACACGUACGUACUCUAUGGCCUGUUGACCUCUAUGCUGUCGGUCAGAGACCACACUGGAUUCUAGGCCUUUUAGCUGUAGAACCCACCCUCACGGUCUUAGAAGAGUUUCUGUAUAAUCACACAUUAAGCUUUAUUGUGUGCACCCAGAAUUGGACGGAUUGGACUUGUUGUUGCCUGGAAACCUUUUCCCAUGUUGUACUGUGUUUUAAAUGUGCUGACAAUGAGGCACUGGCUUUAGACUCCCUGAAGUCUGAGCCAGGUUGACCAAGUCAGCCUGCACUGCGUUCUCAUUCUUAUUUCUUCGCCUUCCCUUGUGAUCCCUCGGGGACCCUUCAAGGACCUCCUGGAGCUGCAGUUACAAUUGGCUGUGCACCUCCUCAGGGCUGUGCUGGAGACUGAACUCAGGUCUUCUGACAGAGCUGGAAGUGCUCUUAAUCACAGUGACAACUCUCUCCAGCCCCACAGAUGGUUUUUUAAUUUAGUUUUCUUAAAGAUUGUUUUCUUAGUUAGUACAUACUUAUGCAUGUAAAAAAAGAAUGUAUGUAAAAGAGAAAAAGAAAGGAAAAGUCUCCUGUAAUCCUUAUGACUCUUUGGUGUGUUUCCUUUCAGAUUCUUUCUACGUGAAUAUUCAGCUAUAAAUACACUUUGAAUAUGUAUUGCCAUUUUCUCUUAGUAGCACAUUAGCAUUUCCCUAUUAAUACACAAUUAUAAAAUGGCUGUGCCGUGUUCCACUUGUCUUUCCUUUUGCUUUUUCUAUUUUUGACUUGUUACUUGACAUUAUAAAUAAAGAAGUAGGGAGAGGCAUGAAAGUGAAUUUGGAGAGGAGAGAAUAAUAUUUUUCUUUUGGGUUUCAUGCUUUGAUUUUAUGUUAUUUUAUUUUAUUUUUUGUUGUUUAAGAAUGAAAUAGUUACAUAUAUAUUGAUCAUAUCUAUCUGCCACUUCCCCUUCCAACUCUCCCAGGACUCCCAGUAUAUCCCGACUUCACGUCAGAUGUUGAUAGAUAAUAGAUAUCUAGAUAUCCCCGAGUUCAAUUAGUGCUGGUUUCAUGCACAUAGAUGUAGGGCCAUGUGUCAGAGCACAGGCAACCUCCCAGUGGCCACACCCUCAAAGAAGAAAGAGUCUCCCUCUCAGCAACCACUGCCUUUCAGCUAGAGGUGGGGCUUCCGUGACCCCAUUCUUAUCCACAGGGGAAUUUUGACUGGCUUGGUCUUGUUCAGCUGUUGUGAGUUUCUGUCCUGUCCAAACACAUCCUCUAUACCUUCUCUUCCUGAUAUGUCCUGGGUGUGGCGAGGAGUGAUGAGGGCUGAUAUCGAUGCUCCAUUUAGGGUAUACUCUGCCCAUCAUAGUGCCCAUCUGUGAGCUCAUUUAUUCUAAACACUUUGACUAGGGCUGAGGCUUAACCAGUGAUCACUGCAAGAAGACACUUCUCUGACCAAGGCUGAGAAUAUCACACAUAAAUAUUCAGAAGAAUUUGACAACACAAUCAAUUAGCAAAACAACAGUAGAUUUCCCCCAUACAGCUUAUGAACGUCUGGGCCAUGGGCUUUUCAGGUACAGCACCGAGUUUCGAAUUCCCUUCUGUGCAGCAGGCUUGAAAUCUCAUUAGCAAGUGAUUGGUUGUUCACAUUACAGUCUAUUGUGCCAGUGGCCACAUCUUGCUGGUCAGAGACCAAAUUCUUUGGGUUCAGACUCUAUCUCAGAGAACCUGACCUAACAGGCUUCAGGUCUCGUUUCGUUAACAAGAAUAACCACCGGAAGGCAGGAAAGAAGUGAGGUUAAGGUGUGCUGAUCCUUCUGAGUUUCUGCGAUCCAGUUCUCACGAGGCUCUAAUAGAAUAUUAUCUUGGUCGUAAGGGUGAUAAUGGUUUGCUGGUUCCUGUGUUCCUCAGCAUUUCUCUACGUACGGUUCCCUUUGCCCGUGGCGCUGUGAAGCUUCUUCUAUUGAAAAACUGGGAUAUCUUCUGUUCCUAUCCAGAAAAGACUGAUGGAAGUCUACAUUCCGUAUGAUGGCAUUGAGAAGGAUGGGGAAAAGGCCUUAAGGGGAAGGCUGGAAAGGACGCAUUUGAAAGGGCACAGGAGGGAAAAUGGUCCCGACUUGAGGAUAGACUGUUUUGUGCGUUUUAUUCAGCGACAGUUGACAAUGGGGAAGUCACAGGCUUGUUGCCCCUGCCCCCAGACAUUUUGCUGUGGAAGAAUGACAUCCAGGAUGUGUCUAGGGACAUGUUGAAUUAUGCGGUGACUCCACAGUGGACUGGGCCAGUGACUGGUAGGUGUGUGGUUCUCGAACUUGGAGAUGAUGUGAGCUGAGACGUCUCAUUCAACGGAAAGCUUCUUGAGUGUGCUCUCAGGUUAGCUCAAGGAAAGCUUUCUUUCCACCUCUAUCCUGCUCCUGCAUACAAGGUUGUGUGCCCCAGGCUAAGAUGGGGCAGCUCCAAUUCUCAUUGUCAUAAUCUUACCUUUCUGGUUGUGAGCCUGGCCUUUAACAGCUGAGCCAUCUCUCCGGCCCCAUCGCCAUAGUCUUACGGCUAGCUUUACGCCUGUGUUCUCAAGUAGAAUUUUUCAUCUGUGAAUGACACUUUGCCUUAUUCAGUGAAAAUCUCUGUUGUCUAGAGAAAUGCUUUGCAUGUGGUAGGAAUUUAAAAAUAAUUCAAGAAAAUAAGUCAAUUAUUAUUUUUUUUUUUUUUUGGCGGGGAAUGCCUAUGGUAAUCUGGGGCUGCCAGCUACUUGAAUGCCCAAGAUUCAGGGUCACCCAGAACCAGUCCUGGGAGCCUGACAUGGAAGUCUUAGUUCUUCUACUAAUUUGAGUGUAUGAUUCUACCUUUUUCUAUUCAGUCCUUUUAUAACUCAGCUGAUUGGACCCAUGACUUCCCAAAUAAUUCAUCUUUCAAGGACAUAUGUCUUUGUUCAUGUUUGACCACAUUCCAAGAGGAAGCUAAAGUGGCAUGUAUAUGAAGAUCUGAAUUUUAAAACACAGAUUUAAAGCCAGAUGUAAGAACCAAAAGCAAGAGGCUGUGUGUAAUGUCACUUGCUGGAUACACGGUGAGCUCAGCUGAGCGUGGAAAGACUUGAGAACUAUCCUGUUGCCUUCCACCAAGCCUUUCGGUGCUUUCUGGAACCAUUUCCAACCCAAAGGUUUUUUUUGGUUUUUUUUUUUUUUUGACCUUUACAACUUUAAGACUCACUGAAAGCUCUGUGAGGUUUUUCCCCUCAGAGGAAAAAAAUGCUAAUGUGUACAUUUCUGCAACAUAUUUGCACAGAAUAUCAUCAGAGGCGUUCAGGAGCCACUCCAAGAAUUCCAGGUAAAGAUUCUUCUAACCUAAUUCAAAACCAGCUCUGCAGACUCAAGAGUCCAGCUCCUAUUGUGUGACAAGGGAGAAGCACACACCAUCUGCUCUGAGGAUCUUCGUUUGACAGCUUGGCCCGGGUCACGCUAGGAUUCAGAAAUGGCUGAGUGUGAAAGGGGCCUGAGGGACAGGUCUGACAAGGGCAUUGGCAGCAAGGGUCAAGAGUUUCCUUGGAAUAAUCUCAACACAAGCAGUUCCGGUCGGGGUGGUGGGGUUAUGUUGUGAAUUUUAAUACAGAUCCUUGUCAGUCACACCUUGCCCUGCAGGCAGCCUCUGGGGACUUUUGUCAGACCUAUGGAGAAGCAGUAACAGUGAUGAAAUAUUAAAACUUCACUAAAGUCUCUGA